rnacentral:rRNA from 1 species
UACGUAGGCAGCAAGCGUUGUUCGGAAUUACUGGGCGUAAAGCGCGUGUAGGCGGCUGCGCAAGUCGGAUGUGAAAUCCCAUGGCUCAACCAUGGAAGUGCACCCGAAACUGCGUAGCUAGAGUCUCGGAGAGGAAGGCGGAAUGCCUGGUGUAGAGGUGAAAUUCGUAGAUAUCAAGCGGAACACCGGUGGCGAAGGCGGCCUUCUGGACGGUGACUGACGCUGAGACGCGAAAGCGUGGGGAGCAAACAGG